UCGAACGGUAACAGGAAGCAGCUUGCUGCUUCGCUGACGAGUGGCGGACGGGUGAGUAAUGUCUGGGAAACUGCCUGAUGGAGGGGGAUAACUACUGGAAACGGUAGCUAAUACCGCAUAACGUCGCAAGACCAAAGAGGGGGACCUUCGGGCCUCUUGCCAUCGGAUGUGCCCAGAUGGGAUUAGCUAGUAGGUGGGGUAACGGCUCACCUAGGCGACGAUCCCUAGCUGGUCUGAGAGGAUGACCAGCCACACUGGAACUGAGACACGGUCCAGACUCCUACGGGAGGCAGCAGUGGGGAAUAUUGCACAAUGGGCGCAAGCCUGAUGCAGCCAUGCCGCGUGUAUGAAGAAGGCCUUCGGGUUGUAAAGUACUUUCAGCGGGGAGGAAGGCGACAGGGUUAAUAACCCUGUCGAUUGACGUUACCCGCAGAAGAAGCACCGGCUAACUCCGUGCCAGCAGCCGCGGUAAUACGGAGGGUGCAAGCGUUAAUCGGAAUUACUGGGCGUAAAGCGCACGCAGGCGGUCUGUCAAGUCGGAUGUGAAAUCCCCGGGCUCAACCUGGGAACUGCAUUCGAAACUGGCAGGCUAGAGUCUUGUAGAGGGGGGUAGAAUUCCAGGUGUAGCGGUGAAAUGCGUAGAGAUCUGGAGGAAUACCGGUGGCGAAGGCGGCCCCCC
rnacentral:rRNA from 1 species